UGCAUACUUCCUUUGUCCAACAAAGGAUGUCUUAACUUUGACUAAAUUUGAAUGCAUCUAUACACUAAGUUAUGUCUAGAUACAUCCAAAUUUUGACAAAUUUUAGACAUCUUUUGUUGGACGGAGAAAGUACAUG
rfam:Brachypodium distachyon strain Bd21 chromosome 1, whole genome shotgun sequence.